ACCGGCGGCGGGGCGGGGUGCAUUCAUAAACCUUUCUUUCGCAGGGUUUGAGGUCCAGGUUGUCGAGGCGGCAGCCGCUAGAGCUCAGCGUUGCCCACGCACGCUCGCGGCUAACUGGAGCAAGCUCCACUUGGCUGCUACACUUCCGUCGGGUUGCUUUCUCUUGUUCUUGGUGCGUUGGGUUUGCACAGAGUGAAGCAUGGUCAAGAGCAACACCAGGGAGCUGGCGCUACCGAAGCGCUCCCAGAUCGAGCGCCUCGUAAGGCACGGCCCGGUGUGCACCUCCGAGUUAAUUAGCUUUUUACAGUGUCUGGGGGCAAACGAGUUCAAUGAGGCUGCUUGUGCGAAGGAUAAAGCAGCGCUCGAGGAGUGCGUUGCACAAGCAAAGGCCAGAGCGAGCGCGACAGUCAACAAGAAGCCGAAGAGUACGGUCAUGUAUCAUUUAAAGCGCCUCUAUUACAUGAGGAAGCGAUAGCGAGACUUGAUGUGCUGUGCGUUGGAGCAGUAUGCCCUGGAUGCGACGGCUUUGUCUCGAUUUCGGGAGGUGCGGAUGCGCUGCUGCCUUCGGCAAUGCCUCUUACAGACUUUUCAUCGAUACCGAAAGGCGUCGUUGCGCUCUGACUGAUGCAGAGGUGCGCACGACACAGACACGUGCUGAGAAGAAGAGACACGGCGCGGGCGAUGCUAGCGCAUGCGCUGAAUUGGACUUUUUUUUUCUGGCAGAGGGCACGUUGGAUGUCGCUCUGUCAUGUAGGAGGAGCGUUUUGCGCGGAGAUUUACGGUCGUUUAGCACGAGGAGGUUCCGUUCGGGUCAUGGAAGUGUAUUUUUGGGCUGCUCGCGCUCGCCUGGAACAUGGGCAGGGCGCAUGUCGUAGACAUUACUGGGUGCGCGCGGCGCGCGGGAUGCGUAGGAACUGCUGCGCGCGUGACUCUCGCUUCUGGCAUGCGACGAAUUUCUCGAUCCACGAGAAGAGACUGCGAUGAUGCGCCCAUAAAUUGAGAGAUCUUUCAGGAAAGCAGGUCACCGUCGUGUAAGGCGCAAGGCCUCGUGGUCUUGGGUGAGUCGCACGGCAUCGCAAUGUCCCUCGAUUGGGAAUUCGGAUGCAUCAAAUCUCUCCGGAACGGGCCUGGUGUCAUGCCGCUUCUGCGUGUGCCGCGGAUGGACAUUUCGGUUAAACGAAUCCUUCCGUUGCAGGCGUCAGUGUCUCGAGCAUGCGGGAAACCGGACAAGUCGUCGACCGUAUUUUUUGUACUACGGUGAUGUAUGCUACAUGUAAGCAACGUUAUACGCAGAUAAGUGCAUUCUGGAAUUCGUGUGCCAGCACACUUGUUUUUCGUUUUUGUUCGUUUCCCUCGCAGGUAUUCAGCAGAACAAGUUUGGUUCUGCACAUAGGGUUUAGGUAGCCGAAAGACUUUGUACUGCUAUCGCUGGGUUCCGAAAACUGGCCUUACUCGCGGAAACCGGUUAAUCUUUGGUCAGCUGGUAAAUGAUGCACCC